UACGAAGGGGGCUAGCGUUGCUCGGAAUUACUGGGCGUAAAGGGCGCGUAGGCGGCCUUCUAAGUCGAACGUGAAAUCCCCGGGCUCAACCCGGGAACUGCGUCCGAUACUGGAAGGCUUGAAUCCGGGAGAGGGAUGCGGAAUUCCAGGUGUAGCGGUGAAAUGCGUAGAUAUCUGGAGGAACACCGGUGGCGAAGGCGGCAUCCUGGACCGGCAUUGACGCUGAGGCGCGAAAGCAUGGGGAGCGAACAGG
rnacentral:rRNA from 1 species